rnacentral:rRNA from 1 species
UACGUAGGGUGCGAGCGUUGUCCGGAAUUAUUGGGCGUAAAGGGCUCGUAGGCGGUUUGUCACGUCGGGAGUGAAAACCAGGUGCUUAACACCUGGCUUGCUUUCGAUACGGGCAGACUAGAGGUAUUCAGGGGGAGAACGGAAUUCCUGGUGUAGCGGUGAAAUGCGCAGAUAUCAGGAGGAACACCAGGUGGCGAAGGCGGUCUCUGGUAGCGACUGACGCUGAGGAGCGAAAGCGUGGGUAGCAAACAGG